rnacentral:rRNA from 1 species
CACACGAGUUUGAUCAUGGCUCAGAUUGAACGCUGGCGGUAGGCCUAACACAUGCAAGUCGAACGCGAAAGUCCUUCGGGAUGAGUAGAGUGGCGGACGGGUGAGUAACGCGUAGGAAUCUAUCCUGUAGUGGGGGAUAACGUUUCGAAAGGAACGCUAAUACCGCAUACGCCCCAAGGGGGAAAGCGGGGGAUCUUCGGACCUCGUGCUAUAGGAGGAGCCUGCGUCGGAUUAGCUAGUUGGUGAGGUAAAGGCUCACCAAGGCGACGAUCCGUAGCUGGUCUGAGAGGAUGAUCAGCCACACCGGAACUGAGACACGGUCCGGACUCCUACGGGAGGCAGCAGUGGGGAAUAUUGCGCAAUGGGCGAAAGCCUGACGCAGCCAUACCGCGUGUGUGAAGAAGGCCUUCGGGUUGUAAAGCACUUUCAGUGGGGAGGAAAAGCUGGUGGCUAAUAUCCAUCGGCCGUGACGCUACCCACAGAAGAAGCACCGGCUAAUUCCGUG